rnacentral:lncRNA from 1 species
GCUUUCUGAUUCCGCCUGGAGCCAGAGGACAGAAGCAGCCUGACAGUGUGGGGACACUGCCACCAGGCCCUCUCUCAUCCCUCCUCCUAGCUCAUCUGUGGGGCUUUCCACAAGGCCCCUCCCUCCAUGUCAAGGGCAGCUGCAGGCCGUGAAAACGGCUCGAUUGUUGCUGAGUUGGCUCCCUAGCCACGGAGAGACCUACGUCCUCAUUGCUGAUCACACCGUCCCCAGUUCACUCUUGUCCUCUUACUUGGGAAAGCUGACACCACGCUGGUCUUGCUUUUGCUGUCUGUGCCCAGGUAAUCUCACUGCUGCGAAUCUGUCCGAAGGUAACACUCUACGAAGAAAAAUGUGGAAUUCAGGAAGAUGUUCACUGCGUAUGUUUAUGACGCUGCAAAAUUAUGAACCACCCAGACGCCCGGUGAAAGAAGAACCACCAGGAAGACGGUGUCUUACCGACGGGGUGGCAAGCACGGAAAGGGAUCGUGAUCAACGCACGUGUGGGGAGGAGCAGCACCCCUUGGCCUGAGAAGCGUAGCCGCAUCCAGUCAAGGCGGCCCGGCGCAGAACAGGGCGCGCUCGGAAAAUGGGCUUCACCGCUCGGCGGCUGAAAUGGAGGAACGUUUCCCCUGCUGCUUGGCAAUGCGCGGACGCUAGUAAGAUCCAGAAAAUAAAGUUGCGCGCCCCUCGCGCAGGUUCCGCAGCGCGCCCAGGCCCGGCCCGGGCUGCGGCUGCGCACUGCGGC